CCCGUCCUGCCCCCUUCCUAGCCACGCCCCACGCCAGACACAGUCCAGCCCCUCGCAGCUGUGCGCCCCGCCCACGGAGGAGGCCACGCCCCCUUCCGGUGGCUGGCUGGCUGGAGGCAGAGAGGGCGAGCCAGGGCGGGGCUUGGCCUGACAGGCCCGAGCGGACCCGCCCCUUCGCGGUUGCCCCAGGAAAGAGCCUGAUUUGUUUGUUUGUUUGCUCAUAGCUUUUCCUUCUCCCAACUCCUCGCUCAUCCAGAAAUAGAGGUUAUCGCCAUGCCUCUUCUUCAUGCCUCCAGAUCCUUCAGCUCUGACGUUGGAUGGCAGCAACUAACAGCAGAGUCACUGAGAGGGAUGAGAUAGCUGAAUGCUUGGUACAUGAAACAAUGAAGAAGACCAUUGUCUUCUUGGUACAUGAAACAAUGAAGAAGACAAGUGUCCCAGUGGACAUUGCUGAUGAAAGAGGGUGGAGAUUGUCUACAGUGAAGACAGAUGAUCCAGCAGAGCAAAUCUUUGUCUCUUAUGAGCUCACCCUCUCCUGCUGUCUGUGCCACACCUGUAAUUAUAAUUAUGGCCCACUGCUCAGGGAUGCUGCAAUCCCUUCCUGCUGAAACCCAUCUCGAGUUCACAAACCAAGUCACUAUGCAGGGAGAAAAUGCCUGAGUCGAUGGAAUCUGCUUCAUUAGUACCUUCACUGGUUCUGCUGGCUGCAGUUAACCUCCUAAGAAGAUGCGUGUGGCCAACAUUUUUCAGAUGCAUGGGCACAUCCUUGCAUUUUCAAAGGAACUAUGACGUUAGUAACCACAACUGGGACACUCUGGACAAGCAUAAUGAGGCUAGGCAUUUUGAAAGUUGGUUGAUAUGGAGAUAAAGUGGCUGCUGAUGUAUUGCAAGUAUGCCAUAGAAGGAGAAACUCUGGAAAGUCACCAGAAGGAAAUUAGCACAAGAUGGUCAUAAAAAUCGUUACAGAUUGACUUUAUUUUGACAAAAAUCUUUCUUACAUGUCUCAACACUAGUAGAGUCUGUGAUGCUAAAAUAAUUCAGCAUUGAAGUUGUCUACUCUUGAUAUAUAAACAGCCUGAUGGUUGUACAAAUUCACUGUCAUCUUGAUGAAAAAAUUAACACAGAACUUUGCUGUCAAUUAUAAUGAGAGGGCUAUGCAACUUUGUUUCCAAGUAAAUGGAACUCUUAUAUUUUCUAAUGAGGUAUAGUCUCUCUUUGCUAGGGUGAUUUUAUUUUCAUACAGAGGACAAAAAAGGCAUUGUGAUCAUUGGAUUUGUACAUAGCUUAUGAUGUGACCUUUUUGUUGUUUUAGGUUCAAAAUAGGACUAUUGGGUUUUUAAUCUACAGAAAACAGAUGCUAUUUCCCCUCUUCCAACAAGGUUUCAUUUCUAGAAUCUGAGCCCAAACAUGACAGCCUUCAAUUGCUCUUUUGUAUUUCAGUUUAGACAAAGCAUUCAGUCAGUGUGGUAGCAUAUCUGCUUUUUAUUCUGUUGCAAAUUUUGAAGAUUUUCUCUGGCGUAUCAAAUAAAAUACACCCCGGAAAACUUCAGAGAUAAAACUUAAACAAGUAAGUUUGAGUGAACCAAAAUGAACUUUUCUUUAGGUUCUUACAAACCAAGUGAUCAGCACAAUUUUGUUUUACUUUGGAGAGGCAGGCCCUUUUCAUUUCAACAGUGAAAUAUAUUGGAUUUUAGACUAAUUGCAGCAACAUGUCUCACUCUUGACUUCCAGAUUCCUACAAAAACAAUUCAUAAAGGCUUUCAUUAAAAACAAAAUAGAAAAAGAUAAGAAACUUAAUUGAAACAAAUAACAAUAAUUAACUCAAUUUAUCAGCUGACAUCUGUGAUGUUAAGAAAAAGGCUUCUGGCUAGAAUGUGUAGAUUGCAUAAAACAUACAUUCAUGACAGGACAGGUGCUUUUGAAGCAAAACCUGCAAGGCCCUGGGGGAGAACUGUAGAGUUUGAAUUUACUAUCAAUGCUGUGGUUCUUUGCCUGUUUAUUGAGUGGGUAAUAUCAGUACCACAGCAUCAGGACCACAUACCAGAAAUGUCUUUUCUCAGACCAUGAUCUAGACUUUCUUAUUCAUUAGCCUUGGUGUGACAGAUUUGCCUUCUUGUUUCAAUAAGCCAUGAGGGGAUUCUGUUACCUACUGAAGUUCAAGAAGCAUUGGCUUACAUCUAAUCUACCUCCUGGCCUCCAAGUUUGCUUACUGUAAUCAUUCUCCACAGUUACCACGUACCCUUUUAAAAUACUGGUUUUCUAUGUAACUUUUUUCAGGUUCCCCAUUGCUGUGCAGUUGAGAUAUUUAUACUCUGCACACACACAUACACACUCAAGUGUAGACACUCUCAGCUCAAUACUUACAAAACUCCAAUCACGUUAGCACCUUGAAGAUCUGCAUGCAUAUGCCAGAUAUUUUUUCUCUGUAGAGUCUAUGUAUUAUCCACCCCUGGAAUACCCCUUCCUCUUUCUUCCAACCACUUCCUCCUGCUUUUGUUUAUCUGGACAGCUGAUUAGCAACUUUGUCCUUUCUCAUGCAUCUUCCAGAAGCAUUGCCUGAAUGCUUCUUCUGUGUCUUCCUCUCUCAGCCAGAUCCCUUUCCCAAAUGUUGUCCCAGAAAACUGUACACUACCAUUGCUACACUCACCACCCAAUUAGCACUAAGUAAUAACUAGUAACUUGCUCCUGUCCCCGCUUAGUUAUCAGAAUCAAAAUGGAGCAAGCUGUUACCUAUAGCCUUGAUAUCCAAAGUUGGACCAAAGAUUUUGUUCAUAACAAGCAAUUUCUGAUUCUCUAUAUACCAACUGACUAACUGAACAAAUGUAUAGAUGAUUUUUUUAGAACAACAAUUAUAGAUGAACAGAGUGAAUCUAAAUUGGAAAAGUGAUCUCUCAAAUCUCUAUAGAGAUUAACACCCUAUUUAUUUCCCUGUUUCUUGAUCCAAUGUUCUCAAUAUUAAAUCAUAUUGGUUUUUGGACACAAGGAAAAAUUUACCAACAUUUCUUAGCUGUUUUUGUUUUUGUUGAGAAAACUUGGACUAGGAAUCCUCUUCAAUUCGAUUUAUAACACUUUUACCAACAUGAUUUUGAUUUUGCAAGGUGCUAAAGAAAGGUAGUGGGCCUGUUCAAAACAAAGUGACAUUCUACUUAGUACCUAAUCUCCAUGUCUUCUUGCUGUGUGGCCCAUCUGUUGGCUGCAGGACUCACAUCAUGGCUUGAUGCCACUGCUUUGUUGACUGGGGAGAUUUCAUGAAGUAGCUAACCCAGUAUCCUGGAAUAGAAAAGUCGUAUGGCUAGGAAUGUGGGCUUUCUUUGCCUACAAUGUAUGGGGAUAAAUGUCUCCUAACUCAUGGGACCAGUGGGAGAACUAAAGACCAGUGGUCUGCAAGGAGUACUUAGGAAAAUGUCAGGGAAACACAGGCAAAAAUAAAGAUACAAGAUAAUAAGAUACAGAGUGAGCUACUGAAUUCUCAACAUGGGAGAGGCAAAAAACAAUUACAAGGUCAAAAUACAAAUUCAUAUUUUACACUAAGAUUUUAUUAAAGCUUAUCACUUAUUUGUGUUACUAUUAGUUUUAACUGGAAAUAGGGCUCCUCUGGUACAUGUUAGAUUCCAAAAAUUCAACAUUAAUAUAACGACACAGUUCUGGAACUCAUUCAUUCACUAAAAGCAAAAUAUUUGAGCAUUUUAAAAUUUCUUUUGCAAAGACUAGCACAUUAUUGCCAUUGUAGGUUGAAAAUACUUGGAAGAUUUUUAUAGCGCAUACAUACUGUACUCAGGCUCCAAUGCGAGAACGCAGCAGACUUUUCUAAUUCCGACUCAGACUCUUCUUGCUUAUUUAAUUUGUGGUCAGCUCGUAAUCAUUCUCUCUACCCUUUGGAAUGAUUCAGCGUGGAGUCUCCCAUGUGGCCAGUGGAAGUCCUCUGCCCAGUCAGACUUUGUGCGACAGAGGGAAGAAGAAGCAGCUCUAUAAUGAAGAAUGGUAGUGAACAGAUCUUCAAAUGUCCUGAAAGGGAUGAUGUCCUCCUAUUCAUCAGCACUACGGUCUCCAGUAAUGGAAGCAGCCUGUGAAGGUUUCCUGAAUGCAAGAUCAGGCUACCACCUAAAGCAUCCUGCCUGGUGCUUUAGAUUCAAGCCUCCAACAAAAUAUUUUCAGAAGAACCUUCAUCCUUAAAUGGAUUUCAGCAAAGAAAGAGGCCUUAACAGAAUAGAAAGGUCUUACUUGUAGUACAACAGAGCAUAAGUGAGUUCAUGGUUCAAAAUAUGAAGUGCAAAUAAGGCAGAUGACUGUGGAUAAAGUUGUAACAUUAGGUUCUGACUGGGCAACAAUCUGACAAAUGACACUGAGCUGGAAUGAUUUUGAAGGAGAAUCUGCCUGCAUCGCUUCCUGUAUUCUGUUUUAAAAUUCAGUUCUUGUGAAGACAAAGGUUCUGCUUACACAAAUGGACUUGAGAGAAACAUUGUUCCCAGCUUAAUUACCCGACAAGAUGGAGUCAGUCUCUAGGUAGAAACUGUUCAAAUGUGGCAGACAGGCUUGCAGUCAGCUUGCUUUAGAAGGCUUUGCCAAACUGUCCCGAAGAUGGCGCCACGUGCUCAGCUUUAGAAAAGCCUGCCUGUGCCUUUCAGGCUGGUGUGUGAAAUCACCAAGCUCCAAACACGGACACAGAUCUGUAGGGACUGUUGCCUGGAAAUACCAUUCCUCUGUUAAAGCGUGAAGAUUAAAAGUAUGAUUGGAUUA